CAGGGCCCCACCCUCCCCACAGCUCACAGCUACCUGUCAGCCAGGAGCCCUCAGGGUCCCCUGAGCCCAGGAAGGCCUGUGUUCCCAAGGGAGGCUGCUCUGAUAGUGAAAGCCUGAGCAGAUUUCCAGGACAGCACACAAAGGUAGAAGAAGGAGCUACCUGUGGCUCAGCAUGCAGGGUCAGACUAAGCUGCUCCAGAUACAACUCUAGGCAGAGGGACCAGGAGUCAGAGGGAAAGCCCGGCUGAAAGGAGCCUUUGAAGGAGGGGCCAGAGAUGAGGAGGCUGACUCAGCGGUAUCACAGUACCCAGACACCAAGAGUGGAGACAGAACUCAGUGACAUCCACUCCCCCUGCUACAGAGCAUCCCCAAGGCUUCCAUCCCUGGGGGUACCUGCUCCCACCAGGCUGUCUGGGUACCUGACUCUAAGGAUGAGAGAGGAUUGUUGAGUAGAGGCAGCCUCCCUCAGGAAGCAGAGGCAUCUUCUGACCACAAUGGGCCAAACUGUGGAAGAGUCCCAGAGUGUUCCUGGCAAGAGACUCAGUAGCAGGAAAAGCUGGCCACUAGCUGCUCCUCUCCCCAGAAGCAGCUUCUGAAACAGAGAGCAGGCCCCAGAGAUUUGUUAAGAUAUGCUCUUGGGACCAAGUGCUGUGGAGGGUAGGGGCAGUGGAGGAGGCAGAGUGUCCAAGGGGAAGGAUGGGUUUUCAGCAUCAUACCUGCCAGGGCCAAGAUGCCAGGCCCUUUAUGACCCUAUGUGGAUCAGCCCUGGGAUGCAGGGCUCCUAGGAACAGAAGGCACCACCUCUCUGCUUUUGAGGGAAAUUAAACGAUCAUUACAGAAUCUGGUCCUGAUAGAGAUCUGGUGUUGUCACAGAUUGAUUUCCUACAGUUCAAAGGCCUUCAUUCAAAAUUACAGUUGACUUCAGAUUUAAUGCUCAUUUUGGAGAAAACAAGCUAAAGGGUAAAAGAAAUUCCAUUUAAUUUAAAUAAGGAAGAAACACAAAUUCUUAUUGAAAUUAACCCUAUUGACAGCUUUAGAAAUUUUCAUAAAUGCACAUAGCAGAGGCCAUAUUUAUUUCCAGAGGUCCAUUUGCCCAUUUUUCUAGAGCAAGCUAUCCCAGGUUUUUAUCAGGACCUUGGUUAUUCAUGCAAAAGCCUACAUUUCCCAGCAUCCCUUUGGAGGCUAGGUGAGGUCAUGUGGCAG